rnacentral:rRNA from 1 species
AUGGCAAUCCUCAAUAGCAAUACAAGGACAAUUGUCUACACCGUGGCUGUUGCUCUCUUGGUCGUCAUGAUGAUGUCCUCUUCGUUGCAAUCUUGUCAUGGAACUGAUGAAGAGGAGGGUUGGGAGUGCCGUAAAUUAGUGAACUGCACUGCUCCGGGAUGCCUCGCUUAUUGCAGACUUAUAAAACAUGGUGGAGGUUAUCCUCACAGUAUCAUGUCCAAAUGCCGUCACAACAGAACGGAGUGCUGCUGCCGAGACUACAAUCAGCCGCCGCCGCCGCCGGCGUCGCCGCCAAGAGAUCUCGUGCUUGUGCACAACAACGCUGGUGCAUGA